GCCUCUCUACUCCCUCUCUUCCUAUGACAGCGGGACCCGCCCGUCAUCUCCUACCUCCCCACGGACUCCUGUUCACGCACAACAGUGCCACCGCGACCGAACCAGUCAAGGGCGAUCCGCCCGACCCCUAACCCCCUCGAUCGAAUCCGUGGGCACUGACCGAAUCCCCUAGAUCCCCUCGUCCGAUUCCCGUGACCUCCACUCGAGUUUGCCCUCGAAACCGAGCACACGGUCCUCGCCAAGAUCUGCCGCCUGAAGUUUCUCCGGCGGCGAAUUCCGGCCGCCCCGGGAGCACCAUAAGGACCGAAUCAACCCCAACCCAGCUCCCAUCUUCGCCACCGCCGUUCCAGCCGGUCGCCUCCGUCACGGGAGAAGGCCCAGGUCGUCCUCUACGCCACCAUACUCUCCAACGCGAUCCACGAAAUCCCGUGGCGCCUAUCCCGAGCUCCGAGAGCCUCUCCUGCGACUGUAUGCUCUAAGUACGAGCCGUUCGCGUAGUUUUUUUUUCAACUCCGGCAAACUUUCCGAUUGCUCGGAGCAUGACGAGUAGAAUUAUCAGGAAUUGUGAGUGUGACGAACUUCAUCAAACUUACAGGCAAGUUACAUGUUGAUCAUCCUUUACCUAUUGUUUUCCAUGCAUGUAGUUAUAUCACACUAUGAAUAUAUGCAUGUAUAGGAAUAUUAUAUUAUUUUGGCUAUGUUGUUGAGCUAUCUUCCCGUCAUUGCAUAUCGUGGUAGUUGUAGUUUUGCUAUGCUUUGUAGACAUGGGUGGUUCGUGUAUACAUUGAGUUUAUGUGAGGAUUAUAUAUAUAACAACUUAAGUAGUAAUUAAGGAUGUUAAUUCACCUCUGGGCAGAAGUGGUAUUGCUUGGUCUUGAGGGAAGGCAUCGUGGGGUCUUUCACCUUUUCUAAGGCCAUGCGCCCAUGAGAGUGCACCCUAAGUGGAAUGCCGCCCAGGUUCAAAAAGAUCAGACAUACUUAGUGACUAGUAGCUUCCAUGUGCGACCACUGGCUAUAUGGGCUCUGGCUUAAUUCAUCAGUUGUUGUGACCCUUGCCCAGACAAUGUCGACAGAUGUAGCAUAUGUGGAUGGGAUGUGGCCGUCAGGUGGUUAAGGGAACCUCUUCUGAAAGACUUCGUCUCAAUCUUAGGAUUGGGUCCAGUGGAUAAAGCGUACAAAACUCUGCAGAGUAUUGAAACUAAUCAUGAUUAGCCGUGUCUCCGGUUAUGGACAAAUUUGAGCGACUAUGCCAUUACAGUUGUUGGAUGAUCUUGACAGUUGAUACUUUAAUAAAAAUUGAGUGGGAAAUUUAAUAAUUGGGAAAGGUUGGAAUUGGAUUGCCCAAUUCAACCAUAUGUAUUUAAUUGUAGCAAGACAUAAUUAAAAUUUGGCUAUUAUAUUAUGUAGUUAUAAGGAAAAAAAUUAGCUUUCUGCAAAAGAACCACUACAUUAUCCUCUUGAUAUACCUUGCAUAUAGAAGUAGGUCUGUUAUAUCAUUGAUUGUGUGACUUGCCAAUACAUUCAAAGUAUUGACCCUUCGUGGCUGCAACGUUUCACGUUGUAGAUUUUAUACGUCGAGUGAGUGAUACGAUGUAGGGUUACGAUGUCUAUACUCGACAUUUGCCUGUGGUGUUGAUGGAUUCCAAGGAAAUUUUAUUUGUUUUUCUGCUGCAUUUUGUUUGUAUGCUAGCUUGAGCUAUGCAGGUAUGUAUUAUAUUAAAUUCUGGAUCUACGAUGUAAUAUUAUGACAUGUGGUUUAUUCUUUAUAUUACAUCUUGUACUGUA